rnacentral:lncRNA from 1 species
AUGAAGGAAGGAGACAUAAAUGGCAAAGAUUCCAGGCAAAGGAGCAAAGGUCCAUUAAUAACCAGAGCCCCUCUGGUACACCUGAUUGUUUAAGAAGAGGAAGGAGGAAGAGAAGGCUCUCUUUGGCGAAUGGGGUGAUCCAGUGGCAUUUUUACAUGCUGCACAAAUAUCUGACUGUGUUUAAAGUAAAUUAAAAUAAUAGUACAAAUAGACCAACUUUGAACUUAUGCAGAUCUUGGCUAAACCAUUGACUCAUAUCUGUGGAA